GUAGGAGCGAGGCUUGCCCGCGAUGAGAGCGUCGCGGGUUAUCUGGUACACCGCGUUAUCGUUUAUCGCGGGCAAGCCUCGCUCCUAC
rnacentral:misc_RNA from 1 species